GACGAACGCUGGCGGCGUGCUUAACACAUGCAAGUCGAACGGAAAGGCCCUGCUUGCAGGGUACUCGAGUGGCGAACGGGUGAGUAACACGUGGGUGAUCUGCCCUGCACUUCGGGAUAAGCCUGGGAAACUGGGUCUAAUACCGGAUAGGAGCCAUUUUUAGUGUGAUGGUUGGAAAGUUUUUUCGGUGUAGGAUGAGCUCGCGGCCUAUCAGCUUGUUGGUGGGGUAAUGGCCUACCAAGGCGGCGACGGGUAGCCGGCCUGAGAGGGUGGCCGGCCACAUUGGGACUGAGAUACGGCCCAGACUCCUACGGGAGGCAGCAGUGGGGAAUAUUGCACAAUGGGCGCAAGCCUGAUGCAGCGACGCCGCGUGGGGGAUGACGGCCUUCGGGUUGUAAACUCCUUUCGCUAGGGACGAAGCUUUUGUGACGGUACCUAGAGAAGAAGCACCGGCUAACUACGUG
rnacentral:rRNA from 1 species